UACGGAGGGAGCUAGCGUUGUUCGGAAUUACUGGGCGUAAAGCGUACGUAGGCGGCUUUGUAAGUUAGAGGUGAAAGCCCGGAGCUCAACUCCGGAACUGCCUUUAAGACUGCAUCGCUAGAAUCCGGGAGAGGUGAGUGGAAUUCCGAGUGUAGAGGUGAAAUUCGUAGAUAUUGGGAGGAACACCAGUGGCGAAGGCGGCUCACUGGACCGGAACUGACGCUGAGGCGCGAAAGCGUGGGGAGCAAACAGG
rnacentral:rRNA from 1 species